CUCAGUAACACGUGGAUAACCUAACGUGAGAUGGGGCAUAACCUCGGAAAACUGAGAAUAAUACCCCAUAGGUCUAAGUUGCUGGAAUGCUCUUAGGCUGAAAGCUCCGGCGUCUCAGGAUGGGUCUGCGGCCUAUCAGGUUGUAGUGAGUGUAACGGACUCACUAGCCGACGACGGGUACGGGCCAUGGGAGUGGUAGCCCGGAGAUGGACUCUGAGACACGAGUCCAGGCCCUACGGGGCGCAGCAGGCGCGAAAACUUCGCAAUGCGCGAAAGCGCGACGAGGGGAUUCCAAGUGCAUGCACUCAGUGUAUGCUGUUUGUUAGUUUAAAACGCUAGUAGAGUAAGGGCUGGGUAAGACUGGUGCCAGCCGCCGCGGUAAUACCAGCGGCUCUAGUGGUGAUCGUUAUUAUUGGGCCUAAAGCGUCCGUAGCCGGCCCGGUAAAUCUCUGGGUAAAUCGAUGGGCUUAACUCAUCGAAUUCUGGGGAGACUGCUGGGCUUGGGACCGGGAGAGGUCGGAGGUACUACAGGGGUAGGGGUGAAAUCCUGUAAUCCCUGUGGGACCACCGGUGGCGAAGGCGUCCGACCAGAACGGGUCCGACGGUAAGGGACGAAGCCCUGGGGCGCAAACCGGAUUAGAUACCCGGGUAGUCCAGGGUGUAAACGCUGCGCGCUUGGUGUUGGGGGUCGUCAGUGGGCAUCCAGUGCCGGAGAGAAGUUGUUAUUUCACGCCCCUGGGGAGUACGGUCGCAAGACUGAAACUAAAG
rnacentral:rRNA from 1 species